rnacentral:rRNA from 1 species
UACGAAGGGUGCAAACGUUGCUCGGAAUCAUUGGGCGUAAAGCGCACGUAGGCGGCCUUGUAAGUCGGAUGUGAAAUCCCGCGGCUCAACCGUGGAAGUGCAUCCGAAACUGCGAGGCUCGAGUAUGGAAGAGGGUCGCAGAAUUCCCGGUGUAGAGGUGAAAUUCGUAGAUAUCGGGAGGAAUACCAGUGGCGAAGGCGGCGACCUGGGCCAAUACUGACGCUGAGGUGCGAAAGCGUGGGGAGCAAACAGG